UACGUAGGGUGCAAGCGUUGUCCGGAAUUAUUGGGCGUAAAGAGCUCGUAGGCGGUUCGUCGCGUCGGCUGUGAAAUCCCCGAGGCUCAACCUCGGGUCUGCAGUCGAUACGGGCGGACUGGAGUUCGGCAGGGGAGACUGGAAUUCCUGGUGUAGCGGUGAAAUGCGCAGAUAUCAGGAGGAACACCGGUGGCGAAGGCGGGUCUCUGGGCCGAUACUGACGCUGAGGCACGAAAGCGUGGGGAGCAAACAGG
rnacentral:rRNA from 1 species